rnacentral:rRNA from 1 species
UACGUAGGGGGCAAGCGUUGUCCGGAUUUACUGGGCGUAAAGAGCGUGUAGGCGGCCAAACAGGUCCGUUGUGAAAACUCGAGGCUCAACCUCGAGACGUCGGCGGAAACCAUCUGGCUAGAGUCCGGAAGAGGAGAGUGGAAUUCCUGGUGUAGCGGUGAAAUGCGCAGAUAUCAGGAAGAACACCCGUGUCGAAGGCGGCUCUCUGGGACGGUACUGACGCUGAGACGCGAAAGCGUGGGGAGCGAACAGG